UACGUAGGGGCCUAGCGUUGUCCGGAUUUACUGGGCGUAAAGAGCGCGCAGGCGGUCGUACAAGUCGCGUGUGAAAGCCCCCCGGCUCAACUGGGGAGGGUCACGCGAUACUGUUCGACUCGAAGGCAGGAGAGGGAAGUGGAAUUCCCGGUGUAGUGGUGAAAUGCGUAGAUAUCGGGAGGAACACCAGUGGCGAAGGCGACUUCCUGGCCUGUUCUUGACGCUGAGGCGCGAAAGCUAGGGUAGCAAACGGG
rnacentral:rRNA from 1 species